rnacentral:rRNA from 1 species
AUUGAACGCUGGCGGCAGGCCUAACACAUGCAAGUCGAACGGUAACAGGAAGAAGCUUGCUUCUUUGCUGACGAGUGGCGGACGGGUGAGUAAUGUCUGGGAAACUGCCUGAUGGAGGGGGAUAACUACUGGAAACGGUAGCUAAUACCGCAUAACGUCGCAAGACCAAAGAGGGGGACCUUCGGGCCUCUUGCCAUCGGAUGUGCCCAGAUGGGAUUAGCUAGUAGGUGGGGUAACGGCUCACCUAGGCGACGAUCCCUAGCUGGUCUGAGAGGGUGACCAGCCACACUGGAACUGAGACACGGUCCAGACUCCUACGGGAGGCAGCAGUGGGGAAUAUUGCACAAUGGGCGCAAGCCUGAUGCAGCCAUGCCGCGUGUAUGAAGAAGGCCUUCGGGUUGUAAAGUACUUUCAGCGGGGAGGAAGGGAGUAAAGUUAAUACCUUGGCUCAUUGACGUUACCCGCAGAAGAAGCACCGGCUAACUCCGUG